CCCCUUUUACCGGGCCUCGAUUGCGCCUAUAUUCGGAGGUGCCGGGCAACCGGCUAUGGCAGUAAACGGCACGUGCAAUAGGCACGGCGGACCCGGGGGCAGUACCCGGCGCCUCCACCAGAAGGGCUCGCGCAGCGGGCGGGAGCCUUUCUCAUGGGGGCGAACCAGGAUCGACGCGUGCUGAAAGACGUUGCCUUCUGCCCGGCAUGGUACCGCCGUAACGGACCACCCUUACAAAUGCCAAUGACAAUGAGGCAUUUGCUCUUGCCGCGUAAUCACGGCCUCACGGCCAAGGUUACAAGGUAACGGGCACGGUUUUCAGGGGUGCACCGGGUAACAGAAGCAUUCCCGC
rnacentral:tmRNA from 1 species